CACGUUGGCCGUACAUUCCACAGCAGCCACAUCAAAAUCAUAUCACGUGUUUGUUUUUGUUCUCAUCUCAUUGUUAAAUUUCUUGAUCUACGGCCUAUCACGGAGUAAGUAAUUAAUUUAAUUUAAUUUGCAAUUAUUACAAAUGUAUUUUUGUUCAUUUUAGUAAGUUCAGUAAUCGUUUAUUCACUUUGAUUAAGAGUUUUCAUUGUUCACCUUUGUUACACAACACACGCAUACACAUUCACAUCGUGUUAUCUUAACUAACGAAACACACUCAUUAUCAUUAUUUUAAUGACUUUCCAAUGUUUUACGAAUGUCAAGAAGGUGUUAUUGAAUAAGUUUGCAUACUUAUUUCUGUUUAUAUUGAUUUUGUAUCUGUAUUAAACUUUUGUUUAUUUUGGUAUAAAUACACGAGAUAACCUUGAUAGCAUGUUGAUACGUCAUACUUUAUUUAAAGAAAAAAUCUAUGGAACACAAUUAGUGCCACUUUUAGGCGUACAAUUUUGUCUUUCUAAUGAAUAAGUUUAAUUGUUUUUAAGCGCAUUUCACAUCGGAAAUUGUUACUAUUGUACUUUAUACUUUUUAUUUCAUUUAUUUAAUCAGUUAAAUUAGUAAUUCAUCUAAGAUCAGGUUUUUAUGAUUCUUUAUUUGUAUUUCAGUUUUUUACCACACAAACAUGUAUGUAACCACAUCAUCAUAGAUUAAAUCAUCUAAAAUCACAUGUUGUUACUUCAUCACGGGUAAACUAACUGUAAGGCGGCAGUGCCAAGGCAGAAUAGUAAAAAAUCCUGGUUUAGAGGCAAUCAAAUCAGCAUGUCCGAAUCAGACGAUUCGUCAGCAUCACGUUCAAGAACGUUCACCGAGAAAGGCCAACAACAGUUUGAGGAUGAAUAUUCCAAAAGAAACAAACACAUAUGCAAGGCAUAUGAUCAAAUAGCAAACCACCUCAAUCGCAUUCCGCAAUGUUCGACCAUUGAGGACUUGGAAUCAGUUCAAAAAGAACUAGCAACAUGUGGAGAAAAACACUCGAAACUGUGUCUGGACUUAGUUGAUUUCUGUCAGCGCAGGGGUACGCUUGCCAGCAAAGAACUUGCACAAACACACAGAAUGACACAUCAAGGAUGUAAAAUACUUAUAGACUCAGCAACGCGACAAAUUAAAAAUCGAAUCAAUGAUAUAGCAUUUGAAGAAAGAUCAACAGUUUCAUCAAGCAGUUCGAAAUCAUCAUUAAGAUCAUCUACAAGCUCUCGCCAAAGUCAAAUGAGCUCAGUCAUAUUACGAACAAGAGCAAAAGCAAAAGUUGCAACAACAAGAUUAAAGUUUGUAGAACUAGAAACAGAAAUGAAGAAAAAACAAGCGUCUCUUGAUGAGCAAAAAGCAAGAGCCGACAGGGAAAAGGCAAAUCUUGCAGCUGAAUUAGACUUACUAGAGGCAAAACGCGAAGCUGCCGCGGCAGAAGCAGCAGUUGAUGCAUUAUCAGAAUCUCCAGAAUCGUCAGAAACUUCAGUUAAAUAUGAGUUAAACUUACAAUCAGAGCCAUUGGAUGCAAAAGCUCGAACUAAGACAUACGUUCAACAAUUAAACUCAGCAAAACAGGAUGUGCAAACUAGAGUUACAAACAACAACCAACAUAUUGAAUCUUCAUACCGUGUACCUGAGACUAAUUUGGACCCGAGGGUCGAACCCUUCAUUCCGUCACAGUCUGUAGCAGGUGAUUUUACUCGAUAUCUGUUGAAAAAGGAUCUGCUUCUCUCUAGACUUUCACAGUUUGAUGACCGACCAGAGACAUAUCUCACAUGGAAAACGUCUUUCCGUGCUGUCAUGGAAGAAUUAAAUGGACAGUUAAAUGGUCAAGAGUCAAAACGACACGUCAUAAGCAUCAAAUCUGCCAACGCAUCAAAUCCCUCUAUAGGUCUAAGCAGAGCAUGGCAACGUCUCGAAGAACGAUAUGGAUAUCCCGAAAUGUUAGAAGCGUCAUUAAAACGGAGAGUUGAACAGUUUCCGAAAUUAACUGUAAAAGACAACAAGAAAUUGUUCGAAUUGUAUGAUCUUGCAUCCGAAAUCGAUUCAAUCAAGAGUACGGAAAAAAUGAAACCCCUUCUUGGUCACUAUGAUUCAUCAAUCGGAGUUACACCAAUGGUAAAUAAAUUACCACAUAAUCUUCAAGAAAAAUGGACCACAACAGCUGUUAGAUACAUGAACUAUAAUGAUGUAGCCUAUCCUCCAUUUGGCCACUUUGUAGAAUUUCUCCGAGAUCAGAGUCGUAUCAAGAAUAACCCAAGCUUCUUUUACGAAACAACACCAUUCAAGAAAGAAAACAACUUUCAGAAGCGAUCAGAAAGAAACACUCAAAUACACGUCAAGAAGACUGAGACAACGGACCCACAUAAACCUUUAUCUCUACCUGAUAAUAACUCAGCCAAACAGAAGUGUCCGCUUCAUCUUACUGAGCACUCGUUGAACAAAUGUAGAGUUUUCAGGGCCAAGCCCAUCGGUGAGAGAAUUAAAUUUAUUAAGGAGAAAAGAAUCUGCUUUAAAUGUUGCGAAUCUACGUCACACAUUAAACGAGACUGUAAGAACGUUGUUCGUUGCAAGGAGUGUAACAGUGAAGAACAUCCAUCUGCUUUACACGUCGAUUAUACUCAUGUGAAUUCUUCUACACAAAAAACUCAGGAUCAAGUUAAACCGUCUGAAAAUCGAACAGAUAACGGCGGGGAGUACUCCGGUACAACUAAGGCAUUAUGCACUCGUAUUUGUGGAGGGUUUUCAGGGAAAUCAUGCUCAAAGAUAAUUUUAGUCAAUGCAUUUUUAAAAGACAAACCAGAGAAUGUUGUACGUCUCUACGUUAUGAUCGACGAUCAGAGUAACAGGACUCUUGCCAGUUCUCAACUAUUUGAUAUGUUGGCAGUUGAAGGAGAUGAAACAGAAUAUACACUGGUAUCAUGCUCAGGUAAAGUCCGUACCACUGGGAGAAGAACUAAUGGUUUAGUUGUUGAGUCUAUCGACCGAGCAGUUCAACUUGAUAUGCCUACUGUCAUAGAGUGUGAAAAUUUACCUGACAAUCGGAAUGAAAUUCCAACGCCAGAAGUUGCAGAGAGUUUCUAUCACCUCCAAGAUAUUGCGCAUCAUAUCCCACAGAUAGAUAAUGAGGCCCACAUCAUGAUGCUUAUAGGACGAGACGUCAUUUCAGCACAUCACGUACUAGACCAACGUAUUGGUCUAGCUAAUCUUCCGUAUGCACAGAAACUACGUCUCGGAUGGUGUAUCAUCGGGGAAAGCUGUCUAGGUAGCGUCCACGUGCCAAAGGAAUUAAGAGUCAACAAAACCAGUAUCCUUGAAAAUGGAAGACCCACACUGUUUGAUCCUUGUAAUAACCAAAUAAAAUUGAAGGAAAUAGUACACGAUGUCUUCGAAAAGAAAGACGACGAUGAUAAACCUGGGUUAUCGAUUGAAGACAGAUCAUUUCUGAACAUGAUGGACUCAAGUUUCCGCAAGGACGAAAACGGAAACUGGAGCUGUCCGUUGCCCUUUAGGCACAACAGGCCGAAACUUUUGAACAAUUACGAACAAGUGUUGAGAAGAGCAAUUGUACUAGACAAGUCAUUACGAAAAGAUCAAAUGAAAAGAGAACAUUUUCUAGAGUUCAUGGAGGCCAUGUUUUCAAAUGGUCAUGCCGAAAAAGCACCACCUUUACCAAACGACACAGAACGUUGGUAUCUCCCAAUAUUUGGAGUAUACCACCAUCGUAAGAAGGACAAAGUCCGAGUGGUUUUUGACUCGGCAGCAAAAUGCAAUGGAGUAUCCUUAAAUGACGUGCUACUACCUGGACCAGAUCUAACAAAUAGUCUAUUGGGAAUAUUGCUUCGAUUCAGACUUGAACCGGUAGCUGUUGUUGCAGAUAUUCAACAGAUGUUUUAUAGCUUCAAAGUCGAUGAACAUCACAGAGAUUAUUUAAGGUUCUUAUGGCAUGAACAAAAUGACAUCAACAAACCACUUACAGAAUAUCGAAUGUGCGUUCACAUUUUUGGAAACACUGCAUCUCCAUCUAUCGCUAGCUAUGGACUUAAACAAUCAGCCAUGCGCAGUAAUCUUGGCUCAGAUGUAACCCACUUUGUUCUAAAUGACUUUUAUGUCGAUGAUGGAUUGACCUCGCUUCCAACAGCCACUGAAGCUGUCAAUCUACUUAAAAAGACACAGGAAGCACUCAUAACAGAAGGAAAGUUAAGGCUACACAAGAUAGCAUCAAACAACAAAGAGGUUAUGGAAGCUUUCCCUCCCGAGGAUUUAGCUAAGAAUUUGGAAAAUUUAAAGUUAACGGAUCAAGCACUUCCAGUACAACACAGUCUUGGAAUCCGAUGGAGCCUUGACUCAGAUACAUUUUCAUUUGAUAUAUCGACAGACGACAGACCGUAUUCUAGAAGAGGAGUUCUAUCCACGAUAAACUCUAUUUUUGACCCACUUGGAUUUUUAGCGCCAGUUGUCGUAGAAGGAAGGUUAAUUCAGCGUCAAUUGAUCAACUCCACUAGCGACUGGGACCAACCGUUACCGACAGAGUUUUUCGAUACUUGGAACCGUUGGACAUCUUCAUUGCAAGAAUUGGAUCAGUUACAUAUUCGCCGUACUUAUCUGUCAGAUUUUUUUCUAAAUCAGAAGAGAAGUCAGUACAUAUAUUUUGCGAUGCAUCAGAAAAAGCUAUCGCAGCUGUAAGUUUUGUACGUGCACGAAAUAAUGCAGGACAAUUUGAAUUAGGAUUCCUACAUGGAAAAUCUAAAGUAGCACCAGUUCAUGGACAUACGAUACCGAGAUUAGAACUCUGCUCAGCCGUUUUAGCAACCGAGAUAGCCGAUACAAUUGCGCAUCAACUACAAUUGCCACUGAAGGAGUUCAAAUUCUAUACCGACAGCAAAGUAGUUUUGGGCUACAUUAAUAAUGAGUCGAGAAGAUUUUAUAACUAUGUUGCAAAUCGUGUACAGAAAAUUCGAUCAAUCACACUUACAAAUCAAUGGCAAUAUGUUUCUACAAAUAACAACCCCGCUGACAAAGGUACGCGAGGAGUACAUGCUUCGGAAAUGUCAAAUUCUCUAUGGAUCACAGGACCACAGUUUCUAUUGAAAGUCGCCACAGAUCAUUCGGAGAAAUUCACAUUACAAAACCCGGAUACUGAUAAAGAACUCAGACCGGAUGUACUCAGUUUAAAGACGGGUAUUGAAUAUCCACAACAAUUAGGAACUAGUAGAUUAGGUAGAUUCUCUUUGGAAAAACCUUAUCAAGGCAAUUGCACGUUUGAAACAUGUAGCACAGUCUUUUGCUAGCAAAUCAUCAUGUACAGGAUGGCAUAUCUGCUCAGAAUCAGCAUCUGUGAAUGCCAUUGAUGAAGCAAGAAAACUAGUUUUACGAGAAGCUCAGGUAGAUACUUUUAGCGACGAAAUUGAUUGUCUUACUACACGAAAACCUCUUGCAAAAUCCAGCUCUAUAGCCAGUCUCACGCCUUUCCUUGAUAACGAAAACAUGUUACGUAUUGGUGGAAGAAUACAAAAUUCAAAUGUUCCAGACAUUGAAAAACACCCAAUACUCCUUUCUGGUCGCCAUCACAUUGCACUACUUAUUGUCAGACAUUAUCAUGAACUUAGUCAUCAUCAAGGCCGUCACAUAACCGAAGGUUCAAUUCGUUCUGCAGGCUUCUGGAUAACAGGACUAAAAUCACUUGUAUCUUCCGUUAUUAGCAAAUGCGUAAAAUGUCGUAUACUUAGAGGAUCGCUAUGUACUCAAAAGAUGGCAAUGUUACCUCCAGAUAGAUUAGAACCUGGUCCUCCAUUCACAAACGUUGGCGUCGAUUGUUUUGGUCCGUGGGAAGUGUUAGCUCGUCGAACUCGUGGUGGACACGCAAACAGCAAAAGAUGGGCUACUAUGUUUACAUGUUUGACAACAAGAGCUGUUCAUGUAGAAGUAAUAGAGGAGUUAAGCUCAUCGUCUUUCAUUAUGGCAUUAAAACGAUUCACAGCAAUACGAGGUCCAGUGAGUCAUUUUAGAUCUGAUAGAGGAACAAACUUCGUAGGCUCUAUCAAAGAAUUAGGGAUACAAGCAAUCAACGUCGAGGAUGGUCGAAUGAAAGAGUUUCUUCGUAAUCAGGGAACAACUUGGCAGUUCAACCCGCCUCACGCUUCUCACAUGGGAGGUGUCUGGGAAAGAGUUAUUGGCAUAACAAGAAGAAUACUAGAUUCGCUCUUAAUGGAAGCUUCUAGGAAUAAGCUUACUCAUGAGAUGCUUGUAACAUUUUUAGCAGAAGCAUCAGCAAUUGUGAAUUCGAGACCGCUUGUCCCUCUCACUACCGAUCCAGAAAAUCCGAUGCCGCUCUCUCCAUCUUUAUUACUUACUCAAAAACCGCAAACAGAUCAUUAA
rnacentral:sRNA from 1 species